GUGCUUGCUUCGGCAGCACAUAUACUAAAAUUGGAAUGAUACAGAGAAGAUCAGCGUAAGGAUGACAUGCAAAUUCGUGAAGCGUUCCAUAUUUUU
rnacentral:snRNA from 1 species